CGCGGCGGCCUUCUCCCUCUCCCCUGCGGCCGGCACACCCUCCGCGGCGGCCCUCUCCCCUGCGUCCGGCGCGCCGCCGGGACUCGCAGCGCCCGUCGCGGCCUUUCCCUCUGCGGCCAGCGCGCCCUCGGCCCUCACUGCGCCCCCUGCGGCCCAUUUCCCCGCUGUCCCCGGCUCUGCACAUCCCUUCGCUGCUGCCGGAACGCCGCCGAGCCACGCCUUUGUGCUCACCGCCACGCUUCCCCCCACUGUCGAGCCACCUCCGCCCAUGCCGACCCAAACUGCCACCCUCGCGGCAGCCCCUGGCCACGACGGGUCCCCGUCGGCUCCUGCACUCUCCCUACCGGAUGCCGCCCUCCUUCGCUCCCAGCUGCUGGCGCCCGGUUUUCCUCAUGUCACCACAACUGGCGGGGGCCCCGUUCGUGGCUGCCCCCUGCCGACCACUGUCUACAGUCAGUCGUCCGCCAUUAUCUCCUCCCUGCGCACUCCUUCGGAAGACGCUGCUGCCAUUCUCGCCGCCACCCGGGCGGCCG
rnacentral:misc_RNA from 1 species